GGAGAUGCUGGGUUCAAGGU
rnacentral:siRNA from 1 species